CACUCCUGCGGGAGGCAGCAGUGGGGAAUAUUGCACAAUGGGCGCAAGCCUGAUGCAGCCAUGCCGCGUGUAUGAAGAAGGCCUUCGGGUUGUAAAGUACUUUCAGCGGGGAGGAAGGCGAUAAGGUUAAUAACCUUGUUGAUUGACGUUACCCGCAGAAGAAGCACCGGCUAACUCCGUGCCAGCAGCCGCGGUAAUACGGAGGGUGCAAGCGUUAAUCGGAAUUACUGGGCGUAAAGCGCACGCAGGCGGUCUGUCAAGUCGGAUGUGAAAUCCCCGGGCUCAACCUGGGAACUGCAUUCGAAACUGGCAGGCUAGAGUCUUGUAGAGGGGGGUAGAAUUCCAGGUGUAGCGGUGAAAUGCGUAGAGAUCUGGAGGAAUACCGGUGGCGAAGGCGGCCCCCUGGACAAAGACUGACGCUCAGGUGCGAAAGCGUGGGGAGCAAACAGGAUUAGAAACCCUAGUAGUCCCAUGA
rnacentral:rRNA from 1 species